GAGACGCGGUUGGGUAGUUAGCUCAGGCUCAAAACACCUGACCUCGAGGGGGUUUGUCGAGUGACACAGAGAAUCUGAAGCAGGUAAUGGCAAUCACCUUAAGGAGUGGUAGGAAUCUCAUUGACAAGCCUUCAAAUAUACAUCAGGAAGUACAGGCAGAGUUUGUCCCAUGACGAGCAGAUGAGAAGCACGUGAAAUCCAAAGAAUAUGAAAAAUUGGGGAAGUUUGAGUACCUAAAAAGGCAGCUAAGCGAGUACAAAAGAG
rnacentral:lncRNA from 1 species